UACGGGGGGGGGCAAGCGUUGUUCGGAAUUACUGGGCGUAAAGGGCUCGUAGGCGGCCAUCUAAGUCGGACGUGAAAUCCCUCGGCUUAACCGGGGAACUGCGUCCGAUACUGGAGGGCUUGAGUGUGGGAGAGGGAUGCGGAAUUCCAGGUGUAGCGGUGAAAUUCGUGGAUAUUCGGAAGAACACCAGUGGCGAAGGCGACACACUGGCUCACUACUGACGCUGAGGCGCGAAGGCCAGGGGAGCAAACGGG
rnacentral:rRNA from 1 species